CACCUGGCUCAUUUUUUGCAUUUUUAAUAGAGAUGGGGUUUCACCGUGUUAGCCAGGAUGGUCUCGAUCUCCUGACCUCGUGAUCCAUCCACCUCGGCCUGUUUGGAAAUGUACCUUCUCCGAAUGCACCUUUAAAGCGGGUAUUAGCCUAUACAGGCUGUUUUAGUCGAAUGCAGACCAUCAAGGAAAUUCACGAAUAUCUAUCUCAAAGGCUGCGCAUUAAAGAGGAAGAUAUGCGCCUGUGGCUAUACAACAGUGAGAACUACCUUACUCUUCUGGAUGAUGAGGAUCAUAAAUUGGAAUAUUUGAAAAUCCAGGAUGAACAACACCUGGUAAUUGAAGUUCGCAACAAAGAUAUGAGUUGGCCUGAGGAGAUGUCUUUUAUAUCAAAUAGUAGUAAAAUAGAUAGACACAAGG
rnacentral:lncRNA from 1 species